rnacentral:rRNA from 1 species
CGCGUAGGCGGGCUGUUAAGUCGGGGGUGAAAUCCCGGGGCUCAACCCCGGAACUGCCCUCGAUACUGGCAGCCUAGAGGUCUGGAGAGGCGAGUGGAAUUCCGAGUGUAGAGAUGAAAUUCGUAGAUAUUCGGAGGAACACCAGUGGCGAAGGCGGCUCGCUGGCCAGAUACUGACGCUGAGGUGCGAAAGCGUGGGGAGCAAACA